GGACAGGUGGCCGAGCGGCUGAAGGCACCGGUUUGCUAAACCGGCGUACCGCGUCAGCGGUACCGCGGGUUCGAAUCCCGCCCUGUCCG
rnacentral:tRNA from 5 species